AGAGGGAUGAGCUCAGUGGUAGAAUAUAAGCUUAGCAUGCAUAAGGGCCUGGGUUCAAUCCCCAGUAUCUCCA
rnacentral:tRNA from 1 species